GAUGAACGCUGGCGGCGUGCUUAACACAUGCAAGUCGAGCGAAGCACCUUAUUUGAUUUCCCUCGGGCCUGAUUGUUUUGUGACUGAGUAGCGGCCGGGUGAGUAACGUGUGGGAAACCUGCCUCGUACAGGGGGAUAACAGAUGGAAACCGCCUCUAAUACCGCACAAGCUCACAGCAUCGCAUGAUGUAGUGUGGAAAACUCCGGUGGUAUAGGAUGGACGCGCGUUGGUUUAGCGAGUUGGUGAGGUAACGGCCCACCAAGGAGACGAUCCAUAGCCGACAUGGGAGGGGGACCGCAUACAUUUGGAGGAAGAAGCGGACGAGAAUCCGACGCGAGGGGGCAGAGGCGAAUAGUGCAGCAUGGGGUAAAGCAUGAUGGAGCGACGCGGGGUAAGCGAAGAAGUAUGUCGGUAUGAAAAGUGCAAGCAGCAGGGAAGAUAAUGACGGUACCUGAACAAGAAGCACCGGCUAACUACGUG
rnacentral:rRNA from 1 species